GGGGGGAGGGGCGGCGAGGCGAGGCCUGCGGAGCGGAGGAAGACAAACAUAAAGAUGAAGUGCUUAAUUCAAGGUCACACAAUGUCGGGGAUGGACCUCCAGAUUUCCUUACUGACCUGCAUUAUCUUGUGGAUACCUGAGUGAAUUCCACACCACCCAUUUUAUAGAUGAAACCACUGAGACAUGGAGCAAUUGACUGAGUAGUCACUGCCCCACCCCUGCCUGGAGCCUCACACAUGACUCGCCUCCUCUCAGUGACCACAGGUGAGACGUGGUCUUGUAACACAGUGGUUAAGAAUGUGACUUUGGAGCCAGCCUGCUAGGGGCUGAAUUCUGACUCAGCCAUUUACUAACUGUGUGACCUUAGGUGGAGUCUCACUCUGUAGCCCAAGCUGGAGUGGCGUGAUCUCGACUCACUGCAACCUCCGCCUCCUGGGAUCAAGUGAUUCUCGUGCCUCAGCCUCCUGAGUAGCCGGGACUACAGGUCACAGAAUUUUCCACACUCCUUGACAGAGGUGCUUAACCCUUAUCCAUCAGCAUUCUCAGACAGCACCUCCGGUUAGGGACAGUAUCUGACCGUCCGACAUCCCUGCAGCCCCCAUGUGUCACACAGACUCAGCCUCAGGUAGAUGGUUUCCGUAGAUGGUGGCUUUCUUUGGACCCUUGACAUCAACCAGUUACUAUUUGGUCUAGGGGUCUCACCAACGCUGCUCAUCUAGCAGGGCCACACAUAACAAAUAGAAGCAGAGCAAGCCCUGGAACUCCUGCCUGACAGUGACACGACGACAGAAACAUCUUACCAGUCAGAGGACCAUGAGAAAUAGAUUCAAGGAGCAUUCCACGUGCAAGUGAGUCUUGGCCCCAUCUGCCUUUGGAUUUUAGCCGUGAACUGGAAGGUAUUGGAAAGAAGACCCUCAGAAAUAGCUUAAUCAAAAUCCCUGCGUCUGAACCAAGUGCCUUAUUUCUCUGUGGGCCUCAAGCUUCGCUGACAUCUGUGGAGCACACUGUCCUAACAGGAGUGCUGUCUGAUUUCCCAACGCUCUGCAAAACAAACAGCCUGGAAGGGUGGCUGGUGGAAGGUGGUUUUUAGAGAGAGACUUGUAGAUAACAGGAAAGUGAAGGCUGUAAGGAAGGUUGUAAUUAAACAGCACAUGGAAACACAA
rnacentral:lncRNA from 1 species